CUUGGUCCCGUACGAUCACCAAAGUUAAGCAACGUCGAGACUGGUCAGUACCUUGAAGAGUGACCGCUUGGGAAUACCAGGUGCUGUAAG